rnacentral:ribozyme from 1 species
AAAACAAACAACAACGCAAAACCAUUAAAAAACAGAGAAAAACAAAAAAAUGACGAAACGGUCACCGAGCGGGACACAAGCCCAAGUUGACCAUUUCGUUCAUUCUUUCCUUGUCUAUUUGUUUUCUUUUGUGCUUUUUUG